rfam:Pan troglodytes isolate Yerkes chimp pedigree #C0471 (Clint) chromosome 17, whole genome shotgun sequence.
AGUGCUGGGAUUACAGGCCUGAGCCAUUGUGCCUGGCUUUUUUUUUUUUUUUUUUUUUUAAAAAAAAAAAAAAAAAAAAAAAAAAAGCCAGGCACAAUGGCUCAGGCCUGUAAUCCCAGCACU